AUUGAACGCUGGCGGCAGGCUUAACACAUGCAAGUCGAGCGGGGGAAGGUAGCUUGCUACCGGACCUAGCGGCGGACGGGUGAGUAAUGCUUAGGAAUCUGCCUAUUAGUGGGGGACAACAUCUCGAAAGGGAUGCUAAUACCGCAUACGUCCUACGGGAGAAAGCAGGGGAUCUUCGGACCUUGCGCUAAUAGAUGAGCCUAAGUCGGAUUAGCUAGUUGGUGGGGUAAAGGCCUACCAAGGCGACGAUCUGUAGCGGGUCUGAGAGGAUGAUCCGCCACACUGGGACUGAGACACGGCCCAGACUCCUACGGGAGGCUGCAGUGGGGAAUAUUGGACAAUGGGGGGAACCCUGAUCCAGCCAUGCCGCGUGUGUGAAGAAGGCCUUAUGGUUGUAAAGCACUUUAAGCGAGGAGGAGGCUACUUUAGUUAAUACCUAGAGAUAGUGGACGUUACUCGCAGAAUAAGCACCGGCUAACUCUGUGCCAGCAGCCGCGGUAAUACAGAGGGUGCGAGCGUUAAUCGGAUUUACUGGGCGUAAAGCGUGCGUAGGCGGCUUAUUAAGUCGGAUGUGAAAUCCCCGAGCUUAACUUGGGAAUUGCAUUCGAUACUGGUGAGCUAGAGUAUGGGAGAGGAUGGUAGAAUUCCAGGUGUAGCGGUGAAAUGCGUAGAGAUCUGGAGGAAUACCGAUGGCGAAGGCAGCCAUCUGGCCUAAUACUGACGCUGAGGUACGAAAGCAUGGGGAGCAAACAGGAUUAGAUACCCUGGUAGUCCAUGCCGUAAACGAUGUCUACUAGCCGUUGGGGCCUU
rnacentral:rRNA from 1 species